rnacentral:snRNA from 1 species
GCCCUCAUGGGCAGCACAUAUAUUAAAACUGGAAUGAUACAGAGAAGAUUAGCAUGGCCCCUGCACAAGGAUAACACAUAAAUUCAUGAAUCAUUUAUAUUUUUU